rnacentral:rRNA from 1 species
UUCGGAUUGUAGGCUGAAACUCGCCUACAUGAAGCUGGAAUUGCUAGUAAUCACAGGUCAGCAUACUGUGGUGAAUACGUUCCCGGGCCUUGUACACACCGCCCGUCACACCAUGAGAGUUGAGAAUACCCGAAGCCCAUGUCAAAGUGGUCGAAGGUAGGCUUGAUGAUUGGGGUGAAGUCGUAACAAGGUAUC